AGACAGGAGUCUUGCUGAUGCCCCCGGCCAAAUAAACCCCUUCCUUCUUUACCUCAGUGUCUGAGGAGUUUUGUCUGCAGCUCGUUCUGCUACAGUAUGAGAUGAGGCUGGAUGAGAACUGAUACUUGUAAAUAUACUUUUUAGACUAAAUCUCUGAUUGUCACUUGUUUUCUUAUUUAACUCAUAAAAAUAAAACACAUUGGGUGGAGGGUGGGAGUAGGAAGGAGAUUUAUGUCUUCUAAUUGCAUGUCAUUGUUUCAUAUCAAGACAGAUCAUAUAGUAUCCCUGGCUUUGGACCUACAGAAGGAAACACAUUUUGCUAUCUGCUGUAUGCCAGAGGUCCUAAACACCUGGAGGGAUUACUGCAGCACAGAUUGCUGAGCACUACUCCGGAGUUUCUGAUUCAUCAGGUCCAGGGUGGGGCCUGAGAAUUUGCACUUAUGAAAAGUUCUCAGGUGCUGCUGGUGCUGCUAAUCCAGAGACUACACCUUUGAGUGCCACUCUUGUCUACUAACUGUAAAUUGUAGAACUCCAGAAAAAAGCUUAGUUUGGUCUGGGAUAAGAAGCACACACGUUAUGGAGCAAAUGAUGAAAGAUUCAACCCUUGAUCCCAGCCUACUCUGGAAUUCAGGUCCCUCUGGACAUGCUGCUGCCUGGCCACGCCUUCUUUUGCUUUCAUCUUUCUCAUUGACCAAUGGGCUUGGAUCAUUAAGGCCACACCCCUAUUCUGCAUUCUAGUGGGGCCUGGUUACGCCUCCUCUGGCUCAGUCACACAGCUCCCUGGUAGGUGACUGGAGGCAUUUGGCAGUCAUUGCUGGGAUUUUGCUGAUGUGGCACCAACCCUGCCUCCCUUCCCACCUCAUGAUGGCUGAAGAAACUUGACAGAGCAAAUUGGCUGCAGCCAAGAAAAAGUUAAGAGUAUCAGCAGAGGAAUAGCCCUGGUGUUCCAGCAGGAGCGAAGAGAAAAAAGAAAAAAAACAACACUAACCCUGAGACAACCACUUCUGGUGGUUUCCACUCACCUGGAGAUAAUAACCCUAAUUGGUGGGUAAGGAUGUUUAUUAUUAUAAACAAGACCUCAAAAGGGAAGACACUUGGGCAAGGUUGCACAGUUGGUCCUCGACUCAUGGUACAAGACUGUGUCCACUGUCUGAGAGCCCUGAGUCCUGAGAAGAAGACGGAAACAAGUUCUGAUGGCUGGGAAGUCCAAGAUCACGGUGCCAGCAAGUUUGUAGUCUAGUGAGGGCUGCUCUCUGCUUCCGAGAUGGCACCUUGAAUGCUGAGUCCUCCAGAGGUGAGAAACGCUCUGUCCUAACAUGGUGGAAAGGACAGAAAAACAAAAGAAGAAAACCAAGCCAGGAUUCCCAGCUCCGCCUCAAACUUGCACCUCGAAUCCAUCCAGGUACUCAGCAGAAAAAGGGUCCUCCUAUGGUAUAGCUUGGCCCCUGAGACCCCAGCAAUGGCUACUGGUGUUGAGGAGGCAUUGUGCUGGCUUCCGUGACCCAGCCUGUCUGCCGGAAGGGUGAGGCUAGAUGCAGCUCUGCCAAGAGGCCUGAAGGACAAGACAGCAGCUUCCAUCAAGGACCAGGGACUAAUUCAAUCUCUUCUUGACAGAUGCUUUGUGACGCUGAUAGGCCUGGCCUCUCUCAUUUCUCCCCCCCACACUGCCCUCUCUUUCACCUCCUUCGCCUGUCUUAAAGACUCUUGAAGAUGUCACAUCAGGCAAAUGCUGAGUUGUCAGAGAAGGAGGUGGAGCCCUAACGGAACAUUAAGACGAGUCAACAAAAACUGACAAAAGGGAUGGAGAUCUGAGGCCUGUUUUGUAAGGAGAUGCAUUCUGUCUCCAGUAAAGGCAAGAAGACUAGAAGGAAAGAGGGAGGGGAGAAGCGAAGAGAAAUCCUUCUAAUGUACCAGAUGUGUCCUGACAUGUCAUAUGUCUAGCUCUCCACAAAGCUCCAAGACAAAUUGCAUAUGCCUGAUGAACAGGAAGUGGGCAUGGCUGUGAGUUUUGAAACUAGGGAAAGCUGCCAGCCUGCAUCACAGUUAAACUAAAAUGGUCCCUAAACGACUUUUGGUUGAACAUGUUGGUUAACUUAAUUUCACGCUCAUAUGCUACAGUUUUAUAACACAGACUUCCAAAUGAUUACUUUAUUGGCCCCAGGAAGCAUGAUGCACAUAAGCUUUUAAUUUGCUCAAUAUCGUUGCAGUUUGUCUUAAAUAGAUAAAUCAAUGGUAUCCACUGAUGACCUUAGAUUUCACCAUCACCCAAGUUUCAAGUUUGAAAUUCUAAAAAUACUGCCAAGCUGAAGACAUUGGAAGGUCAUAUGUUGGAACAGGAAAUUUACAAUAAAAGAAAUGCAAUUGCCAGCAAACAUAGAAAAAUAUGUUCACAAAAAUUGAUGGUUAAGUAAAUAUAAGUUGAAAGGACAACAAAAUAUCAUUUUCAUUCAAAAAAAGUCUGAUAAUCCUUACUUUGGAAAAGAAGUGAGGAAAUAGGGACCCCGUUACACUGUCGCUGUGAUUCUAAGUUAGUACAACCAUUUUCAAACUACCUUGGCUCAAUCUAUUCAAACUGGAAAUGUAGGUGCAUUUUGAUUCAGAUUUUGUAGUGCCAUGAAUUUUCCUGCUGCUGUACUUGUAUAUGUUUGAAUUCUAUGGAGUGGUCAAAAUACAUGAGCGGGAUCUACAUAGAGCAACAUGAAAUGGCUUCAGAAAUAUAGUGUGCAUGAAAAAAAGUCUUUUAAAAAAUGAAUUUAUAGCAUAAUUAAAUUAAUAUAAAUAAAAAUUACUCUAAACAACAUUAUAUGCUUGGAGACAUACAUAUAUGGAAAUGAAAAAAGGAUGGAUAGAAAGUGAUUAUAUUAUAUACAAGACAGUGGAUGUCUGUGGUGAGAAUGAUAGUCAUAAGAAGGCGGGAUAAGUAAAAAACAAUAAUAUAAUUUUUAAAAAAAUUAAGGAGAGGUGCUGUAAGGAUAAUAACUAUAUGGCCUUAAUAACUAAAGAGCAUGAUUGAUUCAUUCCAAUACAACUGAGGUCUGCAAAAAGAAAAUUAAAAGCAAUAACCAAAAAAAGUCCCUAAUUAUUCUUGCCUAAGGAAAUUAAAGUGUAAGCUCAAAAAUGUUAACUGAGGCAAUUUGUUGUAAUAGGAAUAAAUUG